rnacentral:rRNA from 1 species
AGAGUUUGAUCAUGGCUCAGGAUGAACGCUAGCGGCAGGCCUAAUACAUCCAAGUCGAGGGGUAAGGUCUCUUUCGGGAGAUACACGACCGGCGCACGGGUGCGUAACGCGUAUGCAACCUACCUUUAACAGAGAGAUAGCCCCGAGAAAUCGGGAUUAAUAUCACAUAACAUUAUGAUAUGGCAUCAUAUUAUAAUUAAAACUCCGGUGGUUAAAGAUGGGCAUGCGUGACAUUAGCUAGUUGGUGAGGUAACUGCUCACCAAGGCUACGAUGUCUAGGGGGUCUGAGAGGAUGAUCCCCCACACUGGUACUGAGACACGGACCAGACUCCUACGGGAGGCAGCAGUAAGGAAUAUUGCGCAAUGGAGGCAACUCUGACGCAGCCAUGCCGCGUGAAGGAAGAAGGCCUUAUGGGUCGUAAACUUCUUUUAUUUAGGAAUAAUCCCUCGUUCGUGAACGAGGUUGAAG